ensembl:snRNA U6 U6 spliceosomal RNA
GUGCUCACUUCGACAGCACAUAUACUAAAAUUAGAAUGAUACAGAGAAGAUUAGCACGGCCCCUGUGCAAGAAUAACACGCAAAUUCAUGAAGUGGUCCAGAUUUUU